rnacentral:rRNA from 1 species
UACAGAGGUCUCAAGCGUUGUUCGGAUUCAUUGGGCGUAAAGGGUGCGUAGGCGGCGCGGUAAGUCGGGUGUGAAAUCUUGGAGCUUAACUCCGAAACUGCAUUCGAUACUGCCGUGCUUGAGGACUGGAGAGGAGACUGGAAUUUACGGUGUAGCGGUGAAAUUCGUAGAUAUUCGGAAGAACACCAGUGGCGAAGGCGGCUCACUGGACCGGUAUUGACGCGUGAUGUGCGAAAGCGUGGGGAGCAAACAGG